rnacentral:rRNA from 1 species
GAACUUAGCAGAGAUGCUUUGGUGCCUUCGGGAACUCUGAGACAGGUGCUGCAUGGCUGUCGUCAGCUCGUGUUGUGAAAUGUUGGGUUAAGUCCCGCAACGAGCGCAACCCUUAUCCUUUGUUGCCAGCGGUCCGGCCGGGAACUCAAAGGAGACUGCCAGUGAUAAACUGGAGGAAGGUGGGGAUGACGUCAAGUCAUCAUGGCCCUUACGAGUAGGGCUACACACGUGCUACAAUGGCGCAUACAAAGAGAAGCGACCUCGCGAGAGCAAGCGGACCUCAUAAAGUGCGUCGUAGUCCGGAUUGGAGUCUGCAACUCGACUCCAUGAAGUCGGAAUCGCUAGUAAUCGUGGAUCAGAAUGCCACGGUGAAUACGUUCCCGGGCCUUGUACACACCGCCCGUCACACCAUGGGAGUGGGUUGCAAAAGAAGUAGGUAGCUUAACCUUCGGGAGGGCGCUUACCACUUUGUGAUUCAUGACUGGGGUGAAGUCGUAACAAGGUAAGCGUAGUGCU